rnacentral:rRNA from 1 species
AUGAACGCUGGCGGCGUGCCUAAUACCUGCAAGUCGAGCGCACAGACGAGGAGCUUGCUCCUCUGACGUUAGCGGCGGACGGGUGAGUAACACGUGGAUAACCUACCUAUAAGACUGGGAUAACUUCGGGAAACCGGAGCUAAUACCGGAUAAUAUAUUGAACCGCAUGGUUCAAUAGUGAAAGACGGUUUUGCUGUCACUUAUAGAUGGAUCCGCGCCGCAUUAGCUAGUUGGUAAGGUAACGACUUACCAAGGCAACGAUGCGUAGCCGACCUGAGAGGGUGAUCGGCCACACUGGAACUGAGACACGGUCCAGACUCCUACGGGAGGCAGCAGUAGGGAAUCUUCCGCAAUGGGCGAAAGCCUGACGGAGCAACGCCGCGUGAGUGAUGAAGGUCUUCGGAUCGUAAAACUCUGUUAUUAGGGAAGAACAAAUGUGUAAGUAACUAUGCACGUCUUGACGGUACCUAAUCAGAAAGCCACGGCUAACUACGUG